rnacentral:lncRNA from 1 species
AUUGUUGUCACAAGCCUCUCAGGUGUUUGGGCAUCAAUUAAACUCAAUUUAUAUUUUUCUUAUAGUUGAUCGAAAGGCAGAAGACUAUUGGAAGAAAAAAAAUCAUCAAUAUCGACAAUCAAAUGGGAGGCCCAGUAAUCUACAUCCAAUUCAGGUAAAGCAUGUACUGCUGAUAAUUGCAUGCAGUCAAAUUUUCUUGAAUAAAAGUUUCCACAUCAGAAGGGUUAAUUUAGUGGAGGGAAAUAAGUAUGUCACCUUAGGACUGUCAUACCUCCUCGCGGCCCACGCUGCUCCGGUUCCGCCGUCCGCUCUGCUCCUCCAGGCUCUGCUAGCUUACGGCUGACAGUGCAUGCACGUGCCCGGCUGCGCGCGCGACCAGGAAUGCGCGCAUGCACGCGCGGUUUGCCGCUGAGCUCUUAAAAUGAUACUACCAUAAUUUCAUGAAUCCUGGUAACUCUUUUAUAAUCUCUCCUAUUCUCUUCCCUAGCCUAUCAGAUCUCUCUUAGCCCUAUUUAUACCUCCCUCCUACAUCACUUCCUUGCCCUGUCGUGGUCUAUUGUAGCCCGAGAGUGUGUUCUGUAUACUUGUGUGUUUCCUGGUAUCUGACUUCGGCUUGUCUCUGGUUAUCCGUAUUUUCUGGCUUCCUUGACCCUUGGCUUAGUUUCUCAUUUGUUCUUCCUUCUCCUGUCCUGACCUCAGCUCAUUUAUUCUGUUACUCUCCUUACUUUUCUUGAUUUUUGGUAAUACGUCUAGCUUGGCUUGCCUGUUAGUCCUGUAGUUAGAGUGUUGGGGAACCUAACCUUGACAAGGACGUUGAGAUGAAGGCAACCAUAAUAAAUCUUUAAUAGAGGGAGGUCAAAUUUUAUAUGCCUCCAUCUCAAGCCAUUGGGAUAUGGCCUUAUCUAAGUUAAAUUUAAAAACCAUAGCUGCGUUAGUCACGUAAAAGUAGUUAAUAAAAUCUGGUAAACCCAUACCCCCACCAACCUUUGGUUUUUGCAUAAUGGAUAACGAAAUUCUUCCAGGUUUUUUUUUUUUUCAAAAUAAAUUAAACAAGGGCAGAGUGGAUUUUCCUAAAAAAAAUAUAGUGUUAUAGGGAAGGGAAUAGUUCUACGUAUAUAUAUAAUUUUUGGAAGGAGAGUAAUUUUGACCAAAUUAAUUCUCCCUAACCAUGAAAUUUCAAGAGCACACUAUCCUAAAUUCGGACCAGACCUUUUCUAAAUUACAUCUAUGCAUCUUGGACAGAUUCUUGCACAGGUUUAUGCCCAGAUAGGAUAUACAUGAAUCCCUCCAAUCAAAAUCUUGCAUUUUCUUUAUGGUGUCUAAAUCAAACCAUGGUAUAAAUAAUUGAAGAGCUUGAGUUUUUGCUGUAUUCAAUUUAUAAGAGAUAUUGCCAGAUUAUUGCAGAAUAGACAUCAGUGGAGGUAGUGAGGUCAGAGGAUUGUUUAAAGAAAGUAUGAUGUCAUCUGCAAAUAGACCAAUUUUAUGUUCUUUAUCUCCUACAGAGAUGCCCUCAAUGUCAAUUGAUUGACGUAUCAAUUCAGCCAGAGGCUCCAUCUCCAGCACGAAUAAAAGUGGUGAUAAUGGACAGCCCUGUCUCGUGCCAUUGGAGAAUUGAAAAGUUUCAGACAUGAAUCCAGCCACCGAAACUUUGUCCGUAGGUCUGCAAUAAAGUGUGAAUACAGCCCUGAUGAAAAGAACAGGCUAGUUGAAACGCGACAACACUUCCCUAUGAAUCCUAUUGAACGCCCUCUCUGCCUGCAAAGAUUUUUAAAAUCUCUCUGUGUGCACUACUCUUUGUCCUAAAAGUUGGAAUAAGACUAUCGGGAAGGAAAUGUUUGCAGGGUUUAGCUAUGGGUGUAGUGAAGCACACAGCAAAAGGAAUUGAGGAAAGUAGAGAAGAGGAGGGUCUGUGAGAUAAGAAAUGUCCUUGUGAAUAACUUUCUAAAAAGACAUAGCUACUAAUUUUGAAAAGUGUGCCUAACUCAUUUACCUCAAACAUCUCCC